rnacentral:lncRNA from 1 species
CUCAGACUCACACCAAUCCUCCUGCCUCAGCCUCCUGAGUACUGGGAUUACAGGUUGAAUCAUCCUUGGAUCCCUGGGAUGAAUCCUACUUGCUCAAGGAUCACAUCAGAAUACCACAUUACCCAUAAUUAUAUUAUCUUCAUGGAUUCUUCUGGUCUGUGACAGAUUGACUUUCCUUGUUUUUAAUGAUCUUGAGAGUUCUGAGGAGUAAUGAUCAGAUAUUGGUAUUGUCUGCUAAGAUUUACCCUUAUACUCUUGUCUGGAGAAAUGCCCUCACGGAUUGUCCUCAGCAUGGAGCUGGAGCCGUCCCUCUCCCAGGUGCCAGGAAGAUUUCCCUUUUCCUCUGGGGGAGCGGAUAGCUGAUGACUGACUGAUACGCUUUUCUCGGUGCCUCAAGCCUUGGUUGGAGCCAGGGAGCAGACAUGGUGUAUGAUACACCACCCGAAAAUGUAAUCCAGACAGGCUCAACCAGAGACCGACCUCGGAACAAUGCCUGCCACAUCCAGCCAAAACAAAUUAUGGCAAUCAGAUGAUCAAGAAGUGAACAAUACUGUGUGGGGUCCAAGCCGGAGGGGGUGCUCAGCAAGCACGAGAUGAUCAAAUCGUCUGAGAGCUGAUGGAAUGCAAGCCUCAUCUGGAAUGGCUGAAUCUGUGGUUUAUACAAGAAAGCACAUGAAGACAACACAGAAAGGCCAGAAAAAGCUCAUGGCCUUUGGGCUGUCUUGAUGCUCGGACAGGAGUAUGCCUAUUAAUUGCAUGGAGAGAUGCCGGUGGCAGGAAGAAGACACAGUGUGGACAAAGUCCCAGACCACACAUUAGUGUGAAGUGUGUACAUGUUAUCCACUGGGUAUCCUUUGUAUAAUCAAGAUUGACAAAUUCCAAUCCUCAGUAAACAAUGAGCUUUGCUUGAAGUUUUAAAACAAACAUCCCAAUGACUUCCAGUGAAGAUGUCAUCAUUCCUGCUUAAAGAACGCAUCACAUUUAUA